rnacentral:rRNA from 1 species
UACGUAGGUGGCAAGCGUUGUCCGGAAUUAUUGGGCGUAAAGCGCGCGCAGGCGGCUUUUUAAGUCUGAUGUGAAAGCCCACGGCUCAACCGUGGAAGGUCAUUGGAAACUGAAAGGCUUGAGUACAGAAGAGGAAAGCGGAAUUCCACGUGUAGCGGUGAAAUGCGUAGAGAUGUGGAGGAACACCAGUGGCGAAGGCGGCUUUCUGGUCUGUAACUGACGCUGAGGCGCGAAAAGCGUGGGGGAGCAAACAGG